CCUACGGGGGACAGCAGUAGGGAAUAUUGCUCAAUGGGGGAAACCCUGAAGCAGCAACGCCGCGUGGAGGAUGAAGGUUUUCGGAUUGUAAACUCCUUUUGUUAGAGAAGAUAAUGACGGUAUCUAACGAAUAAGCACCGGCUAACUCCGUGCCAGCAGCCGCGGUAAUACGGAGGGUGCAAGCGUUAUUCGGAAUCACUGGGCGUAAAGCGCGCGUAGGCGGGAUAGCAAGUCAGAUGUGAAAUCCUAUGGCUUAACCAUAGAACUGCAGUUGAAACUGUUAUUCUAGAGUAUGGGAGAGGUAGGUGGAAUUCUUGGUGUAGGGGUAAAAUCCGUAGAGAUCAAGAGGAAUACUCAUUGCGAAGGCGACCUGCUAGAACAUCACUGACGCUGAUGCGCGAAAGCGUGGGGAGCAAACAGGAUUAGAUACCCGGGUAGUC
rnacentral:rRNA from 1 species